GAGUUUGAUCGUGGCUCAGAUUGAACGCUGGCGGCAUGCCUUACACAUGCAAGUCGAACGGCAGCAUGAUCUAGCUUGCUAGAUUGAUGGCGAGUGGCGAACGGGUGAGUAAUACAUCGGAACGUGCCCUGUAGUGGGGGAUAACUAGUCGAAAGAUUAGCUAAUACCGCAUACGACCUGAGGGUGAAAGUGGGGGACCGCAAGGCCUCAUGCUAUAGGAGCGGCCGAUGUCUGAUUAGCUAGUUGGUGGGGU
rnacentral:rRNA from 1 species